CCUUGGUGGUGUAGUGGAUUAGUAUAGUGUUAGGAACUUACAGGCCUGGGUUCAAUUCCCACUCAACAGGA